rnacentral:rRNA from 1 species
UACGUAGGGGGCAAGCGUUGUCCGGAUUUAUUGGGCGUAAAGAGCGUGUAGGCGGCUAGACAGGUCCGCUGUGAAAACUCGAGGCUCAACCUCGAGAGGUCGGUGGAAACCGUGUGGCUAGAGUCCGGAAGAGGAGAGUGGAAUUCCCGGUGUAGCGGUGAAAAUGCGCAGAUAUCGGGAAAGAACACCCCGUGGCGAAGGCGGCUCUCUGGGGACGGUACUGACGCUGAGACGCGAAAGCGUGGGGAGCGAACAGG